GAUAAGAACGCAGCGAAAUGCGAUACGUAAUGUGAAUUGCAGAAUUCAGUGAAUCAUCGAAUCUUUGAACGCAUAUUGCGCUCUCUGGUAUUCCGGAGAGCAUGCUUGUUUGAGUAUCAGUAAACACCUCAACUUCCAUAUCUUUUUUGAAAUGGGAGUUGGACUUGAGUGAUCCCAACGCUUUUCCUCACCGAAAAGUGGCGGGUUACUUGAAAUGCAGGUGCAGCUGGACUUUUCUCUGAGCUAUAAGCAUAUCUAUUUAGUCUGCCUAAAAAACAGAUUAUUACCUUUGCUGCAGCUAACAUAAAGGAGAUUAGUUCUUGUGCUGACUGAUGCAGGAUUCACAAAGACAGGCUUCGGCCGACUUUGUAAACUCGAUCUCAAAUCAAGUAAGACUACCCGCUGAACUUAAGCAUAUCAAUAAGCGGAGGA
rnacentral:misc_RNA from 1 species